rnacentral:rRNA from 1 species
UACAGAGGUGGCAAGCGUUGUUCGGAAUUACUGGGCGUAAAGGGCGCGUAGGCGGCCUUCUAAGUCAGACGUGAAAUCCCCCGGCUUAACCUGGGAACUGCGUCUGAUACUGGGAGGCUUGAGUAUGGGAGAGGGAUGUAGAAUUCCAGGUGUAGCGGUGAAAUGCGUAGAUAUCUGGAGGAAUACCGGUGGCGAAGGCGGCAUCCUGGACCAUUACUGACGCUGAUGAGCGAAAGCCAGGGGAGCAAACGGG